UUUAACGGCCGCGGUAUUUUGACCGUGCAAAGGUAGCAUAAUCAUUAGUCUUUUAAUAGGAGGCUGGAAUGAAGGGUUUGACGAGGUGUUGACUGUCUCAUUUAAUUUGAAAUUAAAAUUUAACUUUUCAGUUAAAAGGCUGAAAUUAUAUUGGAAGACGAGAAGACCCUAUAGAGCUUCAUAGUUACAGUUUUAAUUAAUUAUUGUUUAAUCAUUAUUUUUUAUAAUUAUACCUAUUUUGUUGGGGUGACAAAAAUAUAAAAGUAACUUUUUUAUUUAGUGUUCAUUGAUUUAUGAACUUUAGAUCCAAUUUUAUUGAUUGUUAGAAUAAGUUACCUUAGGGAUAACAGCGUAAUCUUCCUUCAGAGUUCAUAUUUACAGGAAGGAUUGCGACCUCGAUGUUGGAUUAAGAUAAUAAUUAGGUGUAGCCGCUUAAUUUAUAGGUCUGUUCGACCUUUAAACUCUUACAUGAUCUGA
rnacentral:rRNA from 1 species